rnacentral:rRNA from 1 species
AGAGUUUGAUCCUGGCUCAGAUUGAACGCUGGCGGCAGGCCUAACACAUGCAAGUCGAACGGUAACAGGAAGAAGCUUGCUUCUUUGCUGACGAGUGGCGGACGGGUGAGUAAUGUCUGGGAAACUGCCUGAUGGAGGGGGAUAACUACUGGAAACGGUAGCUAAUACCGCAUAACGUCGCAAGACCAAAGAGGGGGACCUUCGGGCCUCUUGCCAUCGGAUGUGCCCAGAUGGGAUUAGCUAGUAGGUGGGGUAACGGCUCACCUAGGCGACGAUCCCUAGCUGGUCUGAGAGGAUGACCAGCCACACUGGAACUGAGACACGGUCCAGACUCCUACGGGAGGCAGCAGUGGGGAAUAUUGCACAAUGGGCGCAAGCCUGAUGCAGCCAUGCCGCGUGUAUGAAGAAGGCCUUCGGGUUGUAAAGUACUUUCAGCGGGGAGGAAGGGAGUAAAGUUAAUACCUUUGCUCAUUGACGUUACCCGCAGAAGAAGCACCGGCUAACUCCGUGCCAGCAGCCGCGGUAAUACGGAGGGUGCAAGCGUUAAUCGGAAUUACUGGGCGUAAAGCGCACGCANGCGGUUUGUUAAGUCAGAUGUGAAAUCCCCGGGCUCAACCUGGGAACUGCAUCUGAUACUGGCAAGCUUGAGUCUCGUAGAGGGGGGUAGAAUUCCAGUGUAGCGGUGAAAUGCGUAGAGAUCUGGAGGAAUACCGGUGGCGAAGNGNCCCCUGGACGANACUGACGCUCAGUGCGAAGCGUGGGGAGCAAACAGAUAGAUACCUGGUAGUCACGGCGUAAACGAUGUCGACUNNGUNNGGCCCUGAGGCNNGGCUCNGAGCUACNCGGUAAGUCGACGGCUGGG